GAGCGGCCGAGCGGGCAGUGCCUGAGCCGGUCCUGUCCACAGGGAGCUCCUGCCCGUUUCUCCAGAACCAGCCCCAGAGACCAUCCACCCACCAUGUCGGACGAGGAAGUAGAACACGUCGAGGAAGAGUACGAGGAGGAAGAAGAGGCCCAGGAGGAAGCGCCCCCCCCGCCUGCAGAAGUCCAUGAGGUCCAUGAAGAAGUCCAUGAAGUUCAUGAACCAGAGGAAGUUCAAGAAGAGGAGAAGCCGAGACCCAAACUCACUGCUCCUAAGAUCCCGGAAGGGGAGAAAGUCGACUUUGAUGACAUCCAGAAGAAGCGCCAGAAUAAGGACCUUAUGGAGCUGCAGGCCCUCAUCGACAGCCACUUCGAGGCUCGGAAGAAGGAGGAAGAGGAGCUGGUCGCUCUCAAGGAGAGAAUCGAGAAGCGCCGUGCCGAGAGAGCCGAGCAGCAGAGGAUCCGGGCUGAGAAGGAGCGGGAGCGCCAGAACAGGCUGGCGGAGGAGAAGGCCCGGCGGGAGGAGGAGGAAGCCAAGAGAAGGGCGGAGGACGACCUGAAGAAAAAGAAGGCGCUGUCCUCCAUGGGCGCCAACUACAGCAGCUACCUGGCCAAGGCCGAUCAGAAGCGAGGCAAGAAGCAGACGGCCCGGGAGAUGAAGAAGAAGGUGCUGGCCGAGCGGAGGAAGCCCCUCAACAUCGACCACCUCAGUGAGGACAAGCUGAGGGACAAGGCCAAGGAGCUCUGGGACGCCCUGUACCAGCUGGAGAUUGACAAGUUCGAGUACGGGGAGAAGCUGAAGCGCCAGAAAUACGACGUGAGUGGGGCACCUCCUGCCUCGCCUGCCAGUGGGGUCCCCCACCCCAGGCCCCUGGGACCCCCACCGCCUGCCGGGAACAUGCCGGGGCCUCCUCCAGGCUGGCCUCCCCCUCAGCCCCGCCCCGGGGCCGGCGGGAGGGCGCCACGGGCCAGUGUCCUCAGGGCCCUAGAAGGCCCGUGUGAGUCCUGAACCCACCCAGUGGCCCUAAGUUCCUCCCCAGAGCCCGCUCUGCCCACCCACCCCGGCCAUGCCCACUCUGGGGUGGGCGCCGGGGAUGUCCGAGAGCCCUGGGCAGACUCUGUCCCUGGGGGUCCUCCCCAGCCUGGGGGUGUGGGUGCCAGUCCUGGGGACUCAUCGGCCUGUUGAAACCUGGCCCGCUCCUGCCUUGCCAACGCAAAGGCGUGGUGCCCACACUUCCUGCUGCUCCAGGGUCCCUGGGGAGGGACUUUCUGCUCCCAGGGCGCCUCCUCCAGCUUCCCCUACGGGCCAGCGAGUCGGAGGGUGCCGGCAAGCAGUGCGACAGCCGCGUGAAUCCUGAUGCCUCCUCAGGGGCCCGAGGGCGAGUUGCCUGGUCCUUCUGCGUCUCCAUUUCCCAUAACUGAGGGAGGACUGGCUGCCGCCAGGGGCACCCGCCGGCCAGCAGGGCCACACAGCUGGCAGGACUGCUCUCUGCCGGUUGCGCCCUGGGAGGGCCGGCCCCCUAAGCAGCCUGACGGCCCAGAGCCAGACGUCCCCACUGUGUCCAUGGGUUGAGCCAAGGGCGCGCCGCCUCCUGACACACCCGUGCACGGCCCCCGGAGGGUCCCCGGGAGUUAGGGGACCCAGCAGGGCCCCGGCCCAGGCUAGCGCAGUGCAGGCCAGGGCGUCUGAGCCUCCGCCUCACCCACCAGCCCCGUAACCGUCUUGGUCUUUCUAGAUCAUGAACGUCCGGGCCAGAGUGGAGAUGCUAGCCAAGUUCAGCAAGAAGGCCGGGACGACGCCCAAGGGCAAGGUUGGCGGAAGGUGGAAGUAACGUGGCUGAAGAGAUUCCCAGAGGCAGAGACCCACACGGUGGCAUCUGGCCCCGGCAGCCCUGCGUCUCUAUCCUCGCUCCCCA